rnacentral:rRNA from 1 species
AGUAACUGCGAGUGAAGCGGGAAAAGCUCAAAUUUAAAAUCUGGCAGUCUCUGAUUGUCCGAGUUGUAAUCUAGAGAAGUAAUGCCCGUGCUGGACCGUGUAUAAGUCUCCUGGGAUGGGGCGUCAUAGAGGGUGAGAAUCCCGUCUUUGACACGGACUACCAGUGUAUUGUGGUAUGCUCUCAAAGAGUCGAGUUGUUUGGGAAUGCAGCUCAAAAUGGGUGGUAAAUUCCAUCUAAAGCUAAAUAUUGGCGAGAGACCGAUAGCGAACAAGUACCGUGAGGGAAAGAUGAAAAGAACUUUGGAAAGAGAGUUAAACAGUACGUGAAAUUGCUGAAAGGGAAACGCUUGAAGUCAGUCGCGUUGGCCAGGGAUCAGCCUUGCUUUUGCAUGGUGUACUUUCUGGUUGAUGGGUCAGCAUCAAUUUUGACCGCUGGAAAAGGGCCUGGGGAAUGUGGCAGCUUCGGCUGUGUUAUAGCCCCUAGUCACAUACGGCGGUUGGGAUUGAGGAACUCAGCACGCCGCAAGGCCGGGUUUCGACCACGUUCGUGCUUAGGAUGCUGGCAUAAUGGCUUUAAGCGACCCGUCUUGAAACACGGACCAAGGAGUCUAACAUGCCUGCGAGUAUUUGGGUGAAAAACCCGAGUGCGUAAUGAAAGUGAAAGUUGAGAUCCCUGUCGUGGGGAGCAUCGACGCCCGGACCAGAACUUUUGGGACGGAUCCGCGGUGGAGCAUGUAUGUUGGGACCCGAAAGAUGGUGAACUAUGCCUGAUAGGGUGAAGCCAGAGGAAACUCUGGUGGAGGCUCGUAGCGAUUCUGACGUGCAAAUCGAUCGUC